GGUUAAGCGACUAAGCGUACACGGUGGAUGCCCUGGCAGUCAGAGGCGAUGAAGGACGUGCUAAUCUGCGAAAAGCGCCGGCGAGGUGAUAUGAACCUUUGACCCGGCGAUGUCCGAAUGGGGAAACCCAGUGCAAUCCGUUGCACUAUCGUUAACUGAAUACAUAGGUUAACGAGGCGAACCGGGGGAACUGAAACAUCUAAGUACCCCGAGGAAAAGAAAUCAACCGAGAUUCCCCCAGUAGCGGCGAGCGAACGGGGAGCAGCCCGGAGUCUGAAUCAGCUUGUGUGUUAGUGGAACGGUCUGGAAAGUCCGACGGUACAGGGUGAUAGUCCCGUACACGAAAAUGCACAGGUUGUGAACUCGAAGAGUAGGGCGGGACACGUGGUAUCCUGUCUGAAUAUGGGGGGACCAUCCUCCAAGGCUAAAUACUCCUGACUGACCGAUAGUGAACCAGUACCGUGAGGGAAAGGCGAAAAGAACCCCGGCGAGGGGAGUGAAAAAGAACCUGAAACCGUGUACGUACAAGCAGUGGGAGCCUCUUUAUGGGGUGACUGCGUACCUUUUGUAUAAUGGGUCAGCGACUUAUAUUCUGUAGCAAGGUUAACCGUAUAGGGGAGCCGAAGGGAAACCGAGUCUUAACUGGGCGUUAAGUUGCAGGGUAUAGACCCGAAACCCGGUGAUCUAGCCAUGGGCAGGUUGAAGGUUGGGUAACACUAACUGGAGGACCGAACCGACUAAUGUUGAAAAAUUAGCGGAUGACCUGUGGCUGGGGGUGAAAGGCCAAUCAAACCGGGAGAUAGCUGGUUCUCCCCGAAAGCUAUUUAGGUAGCGCCUCGUGAACUCAUCUUCGGGGGUAGAGCACUGUUUCGGCUAGGGGGCCAUCCCGGCUUACCAACCCGAUGCAAACUACGAAUACCGAAGAAUGUUAUCACGGGAGACACACGGCGGGUGCUAACGUCCGUCGUGAAGAGGGAAACAACCCAGACCGCCAGCUAAGGUCCCAAAGUCAUGGUUAAGUGGGAAACGAUGUGGGAAGGCACAGACAGCCAGGAUGUUGGCUUAGAAGCAGCCAUCAUUUAAAGAAAGCGUAAUAGCUCACUGGUCGAGUCGGCCUGCGCGGAAGAUGUAACGGGGCUAAACCAUGCACCGAAGCUGCGGCAGCGACACUAUGUGUUGUUGGGUAGGGGAGCGUUCUGUAAGCCGUUGAAGGUGUGCUGUGAGGCAUGCUGGAGGUAUCAGAAGUGCGAAUGCUGACAUAAGUAACGAUAAAGCGGGUGAAAAGCCCGCUCGCCGGAAGACCAAGGGUUCCUGUCCAACGUUAAUCGGGGCAGGGUGAGUCGACCCCUAAGGCGAGGCCGAAAGGCGUAGUCGAUGGGAAACAGGUUAAUAUUCCUGUACUUGGUGUUACUGCGAAGGGGGGACGGAGAAGGCUAUGUCAGCCGGGCGACGGUUGUCCCGGUUUAAGCAUGUAGGCGGAGGUUCCAGGUAAAUCCGGUACCUUAUUAACGCUGAGGUGUGAUGACGAGGCACUACGGUGCUGAAGUGAUAAAUGCCCUGCUUCCAGGAAAAGCCUCUAAGCAUCAGGUAACACGAAAUCGUACCCCAAACCGACACAGGUGGUCAGGUAGAGAAUACCAAGGCGCUUGAGAGAACUCGGGUGAAGGAACUAGGCAAAAUGGUGCCGUAACUUCGGGAGAAGGCACGCUGAUAUGUAGGUGAGGUCCCUGCGGACGGAGCUGAAAUCAGUCGAAGAUACCAGCUGGCUGCAACUGUUUAUUAAAAACACAGCACUGUGCAAACACGAAAGUGGACGUAUACGGUGUGACGCCUGCCCGGUGCCGGAAGGUUAAUUGAUGGGGUUAGCGGCAACGCGAAGCUCUUGAUCGAAGCCCCGGUAAACGGCGGCCGUAACUAUAACGGUCCUAAGGUAGCGAAAUUCCUUGUCGGGUAAGUUCCGACCUGCACGAAUGGCGUAAUGAUGGCCAGGCUGUCUCCACCCGAGACUCAGUGAAAUUGAACUCGCUGUGAAGAUGCAGUGUACCCGCGGCAAGACGGAAAGACCCCGUGAACCUUUACUAUAGCUUGACACUGAACACUGGUCCUUGAUGUGUAGGAUAGGUGGGAGGCUUUGAAGCGUGGACGCCAGUCUGCGUGGAGCCAACCUUGAAAUACCACCCUUUAAUGGCUGGUGUUCUAACGUAGACCCGUAAUCCGGGUUGCGGACAGUGUCUGGUGGGUAGUUUGACUGGGGCGGUCUCCUCCCAAAGAGUAACGGAGGAGCACGAAGGUUGGCUAAUCCUGGUCGGACAUCAGGAGGUUAGUGCAAUGGCAUAAGCCAGCUUGACUGCGAGCGUGACGGCGCGAGCAGGUGCGAAAGCAGGUCAUAGUGAUCCGGUGGUUCUGAAUGGAAGGGCCAUCGCUCAACGGAUAAAAGGUACUCCGGGGAUAACAGGCUGAUACCGCCCAAGAGUUCAUAUCGACGGCGGUGUUUGGCACCUCGAUGUCGGCUCAUCACAUCCUGGGGCUGAAGUAGGUCCCAAGGGUAUGGCUGUUCGCCAUUUAAAGUGGUACGCGAGCUGGGUUUAGAACGUCGUGAGACAGUUCGGUCCCUAUCUGCCGUGGGCGCUGGAGAAUUGAGGGGGGCUGCUCCUAGUACGAGAGGACCGGAGUGGACGCAUCACUGGUGUUCGGGUUGUCAUGCCAAUGGCACUGCCCGGUAGCUAAAUGCGGAAGAGAUAAGUGCUGAAAGCAUCUAAGCACGAAACUUGCCCCGAGAUGAGUUCUCCCUGAGACUUUAAGUCUCCUGAAGGAACGUUGAAGACGACGACGUUGAUAGGUCGGGUGUGUAAGCGCAGCGAUGCGUUGAGCUAACCGAUACUAAUGAACCGUGAGGCUUAACCUU
rnacentral:rRNA from 1 species